rnacentral:rRNA from 1 species
GAUGAACGCUGGCGGCGUGCCUAACACAUGCAAGUCGAGCGAACAGACGAGGAGCUUGCUCCUUUGACGUUAGCGGCGGACGGGUGAGUCACACGUGGAUAACCUACCUAUAAGACUGGGAAAACUUCGGGAAACCGGAUCUUAUACCGGAUAAUAUAUUGAACCGCAUGGUUCAAUAGUGAAAGACGGCUUUGCUGUCACUUAUAGAUGGAUCCGCGCCGCAUUAGCUAGUUGGUAAGGUAAAGGCUUACCAAGGCAACGAUGCGUAGCCGACCUGAGAGGGUGAUCGGCCACACUGGAACUGAGCCGCGGUCCAUACUCCUGCGGGAGGCAGCAGUAGGGAAUCUUCCGCAAUGGGCGAAAGCCUGACGGAGCAACGCCGCGUGAGUGAUGAAGGUCUUCGGAGCGUAAAACUCUGUUAUUAGGGAAAAACAAAUGUGUAAGUAACUAUGCACGGCUUGACGGUACCUAAUCAGAAAGCCACGGCUAACUACGUG